AUGGCCGGCAGGAAGGGCGUCGCGAGGAAGAAGGCGGUCACCCGCUCCGUCAGGGCCGGGCUCCAGUUCCCCGUCGGCCGCAUCGGGCGCUACCUGAAGAAGGGCCGCUACACGCAGCGCGUCGGCUCCGGCGCCCCUGUCUACCUCGCCGCCGUCCUCAAGUACCUCGCCACCGGGAAGGAGCCCAAGAAGAAGGCCGCUGCUACCAAGUCCCCCAAGAAGAAGGCCGCAGCCACAAAUUAA
rnacentral:rRNA from 1 species